rnacentral:rRNA from 1 species
UACGGGGGGGGCAAGCGUUGUUCGGAAUUACUGGGCGUAAAGGGCUCGUAGGCGGCCAACUAAGUCAGACGUGAAAUCCCUCGGCUUAACCGGGGAACUGCGUCUGAUACUGGAUGGCUAGAGUUUGGGAGAGGGAUGCGGAAUUCCAGGUGUAGCGGUGAAAUGCGUAGAUAUCUGGAGGAACACCGGUGGCGAAGGCGGGUCUCUGGGACGGUACUGACGCUGAGACGCGAAAGCGUGGGGAGCGAACAGG